UAUGGUCCGAUCGUAUCCAGCUCACAACGUUCCGCGAGUCCGUCCAGAACACCCUCCUGGUAACCUUCAACCGAUGCGUCUUGAUGAUGUGCUCCGCGAAUCGUGCUCCUAUCACCGCCGCUUGAAGCUCCAACCUUGGUAUGGAUAAAAGUUUCAGCGGUGCGACUCGUGUUUUGGACCCAAUUAAAGCACACUCUACUAUCCCGUCUUCCUCGAAACGCAGACACACAUAACGUUUGAGAGCCAUUUCGCGAUUGCAUGGUAGGCGCACGUCGUCAUACUUCCACAAUAGGGACGUUUGAUACCGGUCACCUAUCAAUUUAGUUCCGGUAUUCAGCAUCUCAACCGCGCGUUCUUCUUCCUUCGGUAUCAGUUUGCGGGAAGCGGUGACUCCAAUGGAAUCCAGAGAGAAGUACGCUUUUAAUGCCAUGUCCAGCUUCUGACUAUUUUCCUCGUUACAGGUACACAAAUGAAAAUUGUUAUAUGCGGUGCUACUUACGGGACCGGAUGCGCUGCACGGACCGAACAUCGUCCACCCGAGCCUUGUCUUUGCGGCGAUUGGUUCGUUGAAACCACCUUCAACACAGCGUAGCGGUUUCCCCAGGUACGAAUGCAGCUUCACCAUCUUCUCGAUCGACAGAGUCUGUGCUGGCAACGAGAGAUCUCGCAAGGUGUGUACCUGUCGUAGGUCGUAUACCACCGCUCCUUGAUGCCUCCCCGAGAUCCGCAGCCCAACCUCUAACGAAUCGGCCUCGUUCCGCACAGUGU